AUUGAACGCUGGCGGCAGGCUUAACACAUGCAAGUCGAGCGGAGAUGAGGUGCUUGCACCUUAUCUUAGCGGCGGACGGGUGAGUAAUGCUUAGGAAUCUGCCUAUUAGUGGGGGACAACAUUCCGAAAGGAAUGCUAAUACCGCAUACGUCCUACGGGAGAAAGCAGGGGAUCUUCGGACCUUGCGCUAAUAGAUGAGCCUAAGUCGGAUUAGCUAGUUGGUGGGGUAAAGGCCUACCAAGGCGACGAUCUGUAGCGGGUCUGAGAGGAUGAUCCGCCACACUGGGACUGAGACACGGCCCAGAGUCCUACGGGAGGCAGCAGUGGGGAAUAUUGGACAAUGGGGGGAACCCUGAUCCAGCCAUGCCGCGUGUGUGAAGAAGGCCUUAUGGUUGUAAAGCACUUUAAGCGAGGAGGAGGCUACUGGGACUAAUACUCUUGGAUAGUGGACGUUACUCGCAGAAUAAGCACCGGCUAACUCUGUGCCAGCCGCCGCAGUAACAC
rnacentral:rRNA from 1 species